GCUUAAAAUCUACCAAAUAAGUCUUAAGUCUCACUAAUUGAACAAAAUAAAUAAGUAGAAUAGGAAUUGGCAUUCGGGUCUUCGGAUCGGAUAAGAGUCGGGUUUUUUUCUGGUCGGGUCCGUUAAAUCCUAAAUAUUAUAACUCAACUAAAUAUCUGAAACUUUUCUAUCUGAGUUUGGGUCAAUUCCUUCCAAGGUUGGGUUGGUUUGGGUCCAUAAUUCAAAUACUUACAAAAAUACAUGUAAAUUUUGGGUACAUAGCAGGUCCGGGUCGAUUCUGGUUUAGAACCCAAAAGACUCGAAGUACUCAAAAUCCCAGAAAAAUCCAAAACCCGAAAUAUAUAAAAAAUACCCGAUAAUAUUCAAAUAGCCGAAAAGACCAGAAAUUUUACCCGAAAAAUCGAAAAUACCCAAAGUUUAAUCUAUAUACCCAAAAUAAUAUAUUUUAAGAAAUUUGAAAAAUUAACCUAAAAGCCGAAAUUAUAACCGAAAACCAGAACAUGAAACUUAAGAGGAUAUAGUAAUAUCGAAAACAUAUUUGAAAUAUCUAAAAAUGCCUAAUAUGCACAUAAUAUUUCGGGUACUUAGAGUAUCCGAUAUGGUCUCCAGUAGGAUGUGGACUUGAACCAAGAACGUGGGUCCAAUAAAUACCGAACAUGUAUUUAUCUAUGGAUCCAAAUCAAACCUGUGUUUUCUGGUCGGUUUUUGGAUCCAGAUAAAUGUCCAAAUUUAAGAGAGAGUUAUGUAAAAACGUACAUAUAAAAUCUUAAAUAAUCUAAUUCAUAAAUUACAUAAUUUAAAACAAAUUCUCUACUUUGUUAUAAUACAAAUUACUAACAAUUCUUUCAAAAUAUUAAUUCAUAUCAAACUUUGUUUAUAAUCUACAGAAAACCCGCGCGCGAGUCAAAAUCUAGUGACUUAUAUUAAAUUUUAAUUACUAGACUAAAAAUGGGAUAGGAGCAAAUUUACUAAAAGCCAAUCUCUAACUUAAUUAACCACAAGUUUCCAUUCUAAUAAAUCAAAAAAAAUUGGAAAAUAUAGGUUAACCAUUUUAAAAAAGGAAUUGACGACAAAAAACAAUCAGAAAAGAAGAAAAGAGUUUGUGGUGUCUCUGCAACUCUCUCACAAGACAUCGACGAAACAGAAGGUGGAGCCUUCUCCGUUUAAGAGUUGUCGUCGCUCCUAUCCCACUCCGACAACAUCUCCUCCGUCACAGCCGCCGUAGAUUUCGACACCUCCUCGUCAAGUCGCCAUCGCCCCUGUUGUGUGAACCCUAGGUCUGAUUUGUCUUCCGUUUUAGAUCAACGAAAUUGAACUGAUAACGUUUACACCGACGAUCCAGCACUGUAGAAUGGCAUCUAUAAUUGGUCUGUGUUUGAGAGCUAAGCUUAAAGAAUGCUUGCCCCUCCAUUAUCAAGUCAACUAUGCUCUUAAGUAAAAAGAGAGAUUUUUUCAAUGGUCAUUUGCUAUAUAUGUAUGAUUGUUACUGUUUCCUUUUACUCAUGUUCAAGUUGAUAUCAGAGUGUAUCCCGGUUCUCAUGCCGAUGAACAGCUGAAUGAUAAAGAAAGACUUGGUAGCUGCAUUGGAGAAUCCUAAUCUCCGUCAGCUUGUGGAUGAGUUUAUCUAAUCAAGUGAGAUGUUCAGAGCAUUUUACUUUUACUCUCUUGUACAAUUUUCACAUUUGGGAUUGUAUUGUAUGCCUAGGAGACCGCUCUUUGUCUAUUGUUGUAUUGCUAAUAUUACUCUACACGCUUGAACGUUGUAUACUGCUUUGAUUUGAUAAUGUUACAAACCUUUUUCUUCA